AUUGAACGCUGGCGGCGUGCUUAACACAUGCAAGUCGAUCGGUAACAGGUGUAGCAAUACAUGCUGACGAGAGGCGGACGGGUGAGUAAUGCUUGGGAAUCUGCCUAUUAGUGGGGGACAACCCGGGGAAACUCGGGCUAAUACCGCAUACGCUCUACGGAGGAAAGCCGGGGACCGCAAGGCCUGGCGCUAAUAGAUGAGCCCAAGUCGGAUUAGCUAGUUGGUAGGGUAACGGCCUACCAAGGCGACAAUCCGUAGCUGGUCUGAGAGGACGACCAGCCACACCGGAACUGAGACACGGUCCGGACUCCUACGGGAGGCAGCAGUGGGGAAUAUUGGACAAUGGGGGCAACCCUGAUCCAGCGACGCCGCGUGGGUGAAGAAGGCCUGCGGGUUGUAAAGCCCUUUCAGUAGGGAAGAAAAGCCGAGUGCUAAUAUCACUCGGUCUUGACGUUACUUACAGAAGAAG
rnacentral:rRNA from 1 species